GAGCACUGUUUCGGCUAGGGGGCCAUCCCGGCUUACCAACCCGAUGCAAACUGCGAAUACCGGAGAAUGUUAUCACGGGAGACACACGGCGGGUGCUAACGUCCGUCGUGAAGAGGGAAACAACCCAGACCGCCAGCUAAGGUCCCAAAGUCAUGGUUAAGUGGGAAACGAUGUGGGAAGGCCCAGACAGCCAGGAUGUUGGCUUAGAAGCAGCCAUCAUUUAAAGAAAGCGUAAUAGCUCACUGGUCGAGUCGGCCUGCGCGGAAGAUGUAACGGGGCUAAACCAUGCACCGAAGCUGCGGCAGCGACGCUGAUGCGUUGUUGGGUAGGGGAGCGUUCUGUAAGCCUGCGAAGGUGGCCUGUGAGGGUUGCUGGAGGUAUCAGAAGUGCGAAUGCUGACAUAAGUAACGAUAAAGCGGGUGAAAAGCCCGCUCGCCGGAAGACCAAGGGUUCCUGUCCAACGUUAAUCGGGGCAGGGUGAGUCGACCCCUAAGGCGAGGCCGAAAGGCGUAGUCGAUGGGAAACGGGUUAAUAUUCCCGUACUUGGUGUUACUGCGAAGGGGGGACGGAGAAGGCUAUGUUGGCCGGGCGACGGUUGUCCCGGUUUAAGCGUGUAGGUGUGUGUUCCAGGUAAAUCCGGUUCACUUUAACACUGAGGCGUGAUGACGAGGCACUACGGUGCUGAAGCAACAAAUGCCCUGCUUCCAGGAAAAGCCUCUAAGCAUCAGGUAACAUCAAAUCGUACCCCAAACCGACACAGGUGGUCAGGUAGAGAAUACCAAGGCGCUUGAGAGAACUCGGGUGAAGGAACUAGGCAAAAUGGUGCCGUAACUUCGGGAGAAGGCACGCUGACACGUAGGUGAAGUGAUUUACUCAUGGAGCUGAAGUCAGUCGAAGAUACCAGCUGGCUGCAACUGUUUAUUAAAAACACAGCACUGUGCAAACACGAAAGUGGACGUAUACGGUGUGACGCCUGCCCGGUGCCGGAAGGUUAAUUGAUGGGGUCAGCGCAAGCGAAGCUCCUGAUCGAAGCCCCGGUAAACGGCGGCCGUAACUAUAACGGUCCUAAGGUAGCGAAAUUCCUUGUCGGGUAAGUUCCGACCUGCACGAAUGGCGUAAUGAUGGCCAGGCUGUCUCCACCCGAGACUCAGUGAAAUUGAACUCGCUGUGAAGAUGCAGUGUACCCGCGGCAAGACGGAAAGACCCCGUGAACCUUUACUAUAGCUUGACACUGAACAUUGAGCCUUGAUGUGUAGGAUAGGUGGGAGGCUUUGAAGUGUGGACGCCAGUCUGCAUGGAGCCGGCCUUGAAAUACCACCCUUUAAUGUUUGAUGUUCUAACGUGGACCCGUGAUCCGGGUUGCGGACAGUGUCUGGUGGGUAGUUUGACUGGGGCGGUCUCCUCCUAAAGAGUAACGGAGGAGCACGAAGGUUGGCUAAUCCUGGUCGGACAUCAGGAGGUUAGUGCAAUGGCAUAAGCCAGCUUGACUGCGAGCGUGACGGCGCGAGCAGGUGCGAAAGCAGGUCAUAGUGAUCCGGUGGUUCUGAAUGGAAGGGCCAUCGCUCAACGGAUAAAAGGUACUCCGGGGAUAACAGGCUGAUACCGCCCAAGAGUUCAUAUCGACGGCGGUGUUUGGCACCUCGAUGUCGGCUCAUCACAUCCUGGGGCUGAAGUAGGUCCCAAGGGUAUGGCUGUUCGCCAUUUAAAGUGGUACGCGAGCUGGGUUUAGAACGUCGUGAGACAGUUCGGUCCCUAUCUGCCGUGGGCGCUGGAGAACUGAGGGGGGCUGCUCCUAGUACGAGAGGACCGGAGUGGACGCAUCACUGGUGUUCGGGUUGUCAUGCCAAUGGCACUGCCCGGUAGCUAAAUGCGGAAGAGAUAAGUGCUGAAAGCAUCUAAGCACGAAACUUGCCCCGAGAUGAGUUCUCCCUGAGACUUAGAGUCUCCUGAAGGAACGUUGAAGACGACGACGUUGAUAGGCCGGGUGUGUAAGCGCAGCGAUGCGUUGAGCUAACCGGUA
rnacentral:rRNA from 1 species